CGGUAACAGGAAGCAGCUUGCUGCUAUUGCUGACGAGUGGCGGACGGGUGAGUAAUGUCUGGGAAACUGCCUGAUCGAGGGGGAUAACUACUGGAAACGGUAGCUAAUACCGCAUAACGUCGCAAGACCAAAGAGGGGGACCUUCGGGCCUCUUGCCAUCGGAUGUGCCCAGAUGGGAUUAGCUAGUAGGUGGGGUAACGGCUCACCUAGGCGACGAUCCCUAGCUGGUCUGAGAGGAUGACCAGCCACACUGGACUGAGACACGGUCCAGACUCCUACGGGAGGCAGCAGUGGGGAAUAUUGCACAAUGGGCGCAAGCCUGAUGCAGCCAUGCCGCGUGUAUGAAGAAGGCCUUCGGGUUGUAAAGUACUUUCAGCGGGGAGGAAGGGAGUAAAGUUAAUACCUUUGCUCAUUGACGUUACCCGCAGAAGAAGCACCGGCUAACUCCGUGCCAGCAUGCCGCGGUAAUCGGAGGGUGCAAGCGUUAAUCGGAAUUACU
rnacentral:rRNA from 1 species